rnacentral:lncRNA from 1 species
CAAACAUGAUCUUCCAAGAUUUCAACCCAAUUUUGAGGCAUUAAACCUAACAUUCUCCACCUUGACUCAAAAUUCCGAUGCAACGAACGAAACUCCAAAAUUUCAAAUCUGUCUGCUUCGAAAUGAACUGACCAAUCUCCUCAACACAAUAACCAAAAUCUCCAUCACUAAACCAUCAUCCUCUGUACAGCGUCCACAAGCAACAUCCGAACCCAAAUCCUGGGUUCCCAAAAUUCCACCAAGGAAUUACUAUUGACCAAACAGAGUCGAAGCACACCCUGUAGCAGAAAUCAUACUACAUGCUAGAUCAGAAGGCCACUUGCUAGAACUGUCACCUUCAAUGUCCCCUAAAGCAUUCCAGACAUUAUUGACACCACCGUUCCUACGCUCCAUGAGUCCAACCCUAGCAACUGAACACAGUGUAUCCGCUGAGAGCGGAAUCACCAACACUCUCCCUAGCAGUGUUUUUAACUAACUAAGAGCUCGCCACAAAAGGUACUGUACCAAACUGAACUUCCACCACAGUACUGAACUUGUCCAAAU